rnacentral:rRNA from 1 species
AUUGAACGCUGGCGGCAGGCCUAACACAUGCAAGUCGAACGGUAACAGGAAACAGCUUGCUGUUUCGCUGACGAGUGGCGGACGGGUGAGUAAUGUCUGGGAAACUGCCUGAUGGAGGGGGAUAACUACUGGAAACGGUAGCUAAUACCGCAUAACGUCGCAAGACCAAAGAGGGGGACCUUCGGGCCUCUUGCCAUCGGAUGUGCCCAGAUGGGAUUAGCUUGUUGGUGGGGUAACGGCUCACCAAGGCGACGAUCCCUAGCUGGUCUGAGAGCAUGACCAGACACACUGGAAAUGAGACCCGGUCCAGACUCCUACGGGAGGCAGCAGUGGGGAAUAUUGCACAAUGGGCGCAAGCCUGAUGCAGCCAUGCCGCGUGUAUGAAGAAAGCCUUCGGGUUGUAAAGUACUUUCAGCGGGGAGGAAGGGAGUAAAGUUAAUACCUUUACUCAUUGACGUUACCCGCAGAAGAAGCACCGGCUAACUCCGUGCCAGCAGCCGCCGUAA